rnacentral:rRNA from 1 species
UCCUACGGGAGGCAGCAGUGGGGAAUCUUGCACAAUGGAGGCAACUCUGAUGCAGCCAUGCCGCGUGAGUGAAGAAGGCCCAGGGUCGUAAAGCUCUUUCGUCGGGGAAGAAAAUGACAGUACCAGGUUAAGAAGCUCCGGCUAACUCCGUGCCAGCAGCCGCGGUAAU